rnacentral:tRNA from 4 species
GGGAGCUUAGCUCAGUUGGUUUAGAGCACCUGCCUUACAAGCAGGGGGUCACUGGUUCGACCCCAGUAGUUCCCACAA